rnacentral:rRNA from 1 species
AGAUUGAACGCUGGCGGCAGGCCUAACACAUGCAAGUCGAGCGGUAGAGAGGUGCUUGCAUCUCUUGAGAGCGGCGGACGGGUGAGUAAUGCCUAGGAAUCUGCCUAGUGGUGGGGGAUAACGUUCGGAAACGGACGCUAAUACCGCAUACGUCCUACGGGAGAAAGCGGGGGACCUUCGGGCCUCGCGCCAUUAGAUGAGCCUAGGUCGGAUUAGCUUAGUUGGUGAGGUAAUGGCUCACCAAGGCGACGAUCCGUAACUGGUCUGAGAGGAUGAUCAGUCACACUGGAACUGAGACACGGUCCAGACCUCCUACGGGAGCAGCAGUGGGGAAUUAUGGAC